ACAAGCUAAUUGGAGCAACCAUUUCCCUAUAAAUAGGGACUUCAUUCUUUUGGUUUUGGUUACCAACUAGUGCACGGGUUGGACGCUGUAGUGAGAUAUAUGGCUACAUGCAAGCAUGCAUGUUAAGCCUUUGUAGAGAAGAAUUUUUUUUGUUAAUCUUUCGAAAUUCGUAACUUUCAAUCCAAAAUUUCGAUUGAGGAAUAGUUUUCGUCUACAUGUUCAGUGAAUCGAGCUCAACAUUCUAAGGUAAAUUUUGAGGAAUUAUUAUUUAGGUUUGAAUAAUUCGUUCAAAUUGGGUUUAUGACUAAUUAGGCUUAAAUCUUCGAUUCAAGCUUGUUCUUGCAUAAUUUGAGGGCUUUGAAGCCUAUUUGAUGACUGGACAACGAUUUCUCAGACAUUAAGGUAAAGAUUUACAUAUGAUCAGAUUUUUGGGAUUUUUGUACAAGUUUCAUAUGGAUGAGAUUUAGAAAAAAAAUUGAUGUUUGACUCGAAAUUCAUCAAAUUUAGUCCUUAAAGGACGUUUGUAUGGAAGAAGUGAGUUGUACUAUUGAUGGAUUGUGUUUUGGCUUGAAAGAUAUGUUGAAUUUCUGGGAAAAUAGACCUCAAAGCCACUGGUUUCAUACCAGGGACUGAACUACAAAAAUAGUUUUAGUUUUGGGGUAAUUGUGUAAAUUACUAAAAGUUUGGGGUCCAAAGUGCAAUUAUCAAAAAUUUUGGGAUCUAUUUGAAAUAAUAAAAAGUUCAAAUACAUAAUUUUUAUUCUGGUUAAGUGAAGGUCCCUAUUGGAUAUAGUUGUUGUUAUGGGAAUAAAGUUUAGUCAUUAUAUAUGGACAUAUAGUGGCAUAUUGUAAUUGUUGAACUAGGGACUCCAAUUACUCGUAGUGCUUGCGUUUAAUCGAGGUAUUGGUGAGGAAUAUUGCUUGCUUGGCUUGGAGACCAGGUAGGAGAAUCCUCACUUACCCUAGUUAUGGAAUUUUGUGCAUGUAUGUAUAUGUAAAUAUACGAAUGCCUAUGAAAGCUACAUAGAUUUUGUUGUGAUAGAACCAUAAGGAAAAAUGGUUUUGUUUUAUAUCAUGAUAUACAUGUUGUUUUAUGCUACAAAUUAAAGUGAUGACUUGAGAGUGAAGGGGGCAUAGCGACCGCCUUGGGUUUCGAUCCCCUAAACCUCCGGAGGGGAUACUACAAAGGGAUUAGUAUCGCUACCUUUCUAGGAGAGGUACUAGGACAUCUAAGGGUAGAGCAUUAAGGGACACUCUCGCUACAACUUACCAUAAGUAUAUUCGUUCGGAGUUGGUCCAGGUAAGCGAGUAGUUGGUCAUUAGACUGGUCAUCAGGCAUGUAGCAAUUUAUUGGGAUCCCUAUUGUUUUUUUAAAGGAAAUUGUGUGAGCAUAUAACCUAUUUUCAAAACUAAACAAAGCUUUUGUUGUGCAUCAAUCAUUUUCCUAUAGUAUAUAUAGUGUCGUAUACUAUUUUCAAACCUAGCUGGGGUGGAUUCCCUGAGGGGGAACGAUGAACGUUUGUGAUGCUUACCAUUACUUUAUUACAGGUCUGGUGCACCUAUAAGUAGACGAACUGGACAAAAGUCGGGACUAGCGUUGUUUGUUACUUGUCAACUUCUCAGUUGUUCAUAGCCUCAUCGUCUUGAAGGGAUUUUUGUAGCCAAACUCAACGUUUUGCAUUUUCAAAUCGUACUAAAGAGUUGGUUUAGUAUGAUAAUUACCUUAAACUCUUUGGUUUUGUUGUAGAUUGUGAAAUUCUUUUCCUAUGUAAAAAUUUUAUCCAAAUUCAGUUGCCCUUUUAUUCUUCGUUUUAC
rnacentral:lncRNA from 1 species